CUCUCCCUCUGCCAGCUGCCAGGAGCUGAGCAGCUCUGCCCUGUCACAAACACCUCCCUGAGGCCAGUGACCGCGAGCCGGCACCUGUGACACUGAGCCCCAGGGAAUCCUUCCCCUUUUAGGUUGAUUUUUCUCAGCUAUUUUGUCACUGAUGGAAAGCUGUCAAUCACACCCCUCCCCAAAUACUGGAAUGAAAUGGGUUCUCCACCAGGGCUGGGGGCCACGCGAGACUCUCGGGCAGGAUGAAGAACAGGCAAAUGGCCAUCGGCCCAGCCUCUCUCCUUCACUGAAAGAAAGAAACGUACUGCAGAGAAAUCCUUGGGAACUUCCAGAUGUGGCUCGGACUGGGGCUCCGCUUCCUGCCGAGUGCUGGAGUCAGGCCUGCGUUGGGCCAGGGCCUCUGUGGCCUUAUGGGGACAGGGAUGGAGGGCGUCAGCCUGGCUGCGGAGGCUGGUCAGGGUGGGCGGGGAGUGAGCCGGGGGUCCUGGCUAUCUGCAUUUGACCAGGGAAGCCUAGCAGGGGAGUGGGAGAGAAGGGCAGGUUCCCGGCACUUCAUACCAGAUGACCCAGGGCUGCCGCGUUUCUUUUCCUGUGGAGCAAGCUCGUGUCCUGGUGGAUCAGAGGACGUGUGCAGGAGGCUCUGGGGAAUCUKCAGGGCUGUGAAGCCAGAGGGGCCAGAGCAGAGGGCCAGAGAGGCCUGGGAGGAGAGCAGUGGUGUCCCGGGACCCACCACCAUGCUGUGCCGGGCUGCCAUUCACCAGUCCCCCGGCCCUCCAGGAUGGCAGCCUAGUCCUCUCUCUGUGCACUUUGAAUUCCGAAGGCUGUCUCUCUCUGGAGUGACUCAGCUCCCGGACGAGGACCAGCAAGCCCUCGUGUUUACAGACCACCUAGUUAUCAGUGUUCUGAAGCAGCCUGAGCACUGAGGUAAGGCUCUGUUUGUGUAACUUUGUAAAGUGAAAGCAGCUCCAUGUUGAGGUCUGUCUACUCCUUGGCAACUUGGCGAUUAAUGAGUACGGAUGCUAACAUUUCAUCUACUGUAACUGAAUUCUAUGUUGUUAGCCAACACCAAAACUGUAUGACUUGAUAACAAAUAUCUUUUUCCCCUCCUGAUUAAGGAAUGUUUUUAUUUAGAAAGCCUCUCAGAGACAUGGA
rnacentral:lncRNA from 1 species